rnacentral:rRNA from 1 species
UACGGAGGAUGCGAGCGUUAUCCGGAUUUAUUGGGUUUAAAGGGUGCGUAGGCGGGAUGCCAAGUCAGCGGUCAAAUACGGGGGCUCAACCUGCGUCCGCCGUUGAAACUGGCGUUCUUGAGUGGGCGAGAAGUACGCGGAAUGCGUGGUGUAGCGGUGAAAUGCAUAGAUAUAUGGAAGAACACCAGUGGCGAAAGCGGCUCUCUGGUCUGUAACUGACGCUGAGGUUCGAAAGCGUGGGUAGCAAACAGG